rnacentral:tRNA from 1 species
GGAGAGGUGCCGGAGUGGUUGAACGGGGCGGUCUCGAAAACCGUUGAACUCUUUUGGGGUUCCGAGGGUUCGAAUCCCUCCCUCUCCGCCA